CUUAAAUAGCCGAUUAAGCAUGCAGGAUGGCCUUGCUCAGAGCGCAGCACAGCGGGUUUCGCAGGGGACCUGGCCCUGGCUCAGGAGCGCAGCUGGGAUAAGUUUUAUGUUUCAAUGUUCCCCCAAAGCCCCACUCAUCCCAUCUAAGAAGAAGAAAAGGCUUAAAGUGUAAAUUAUACUUACUGGGAAUCAGGACAGUUAACACAGAGGAACAGAAAAAAGAAAGAAAGCAGAGACAUCUUUUGCAAGGUAGGAAAGAAGAGGCCCGGACAGAAUGACCUCUGCCAGGACAGAGUUCCCCUGGAGUGUCUGGGGCUGUGAUGCAGCCUCCCAAGCCCUUUGCUCACUCUGGGGUUGGCUGAAACCCUGCUAAAACCAAGUUCUGCUGCCUUCUGGCGCCAUCUCCUGUCCUUCCAAAUGCAGUGAAAUAUGAACCAGUCAGAGAGUCAAAGGUAUCCAAGUGUGGUGACUUUUGGGUUUGUUUUUUCUUGCCUUGUUUUAUUUAUUUAUUUACUCGGCUGUGCCGGGUCUUAGUCGCGGCACGUGGGAUCUUUGUUGUGGCAUGCAUGUGAGAUCUAGUUCCCUGACCAGGGAUCAAGCUUGGCCCCUCUGCAUUGGGAGCGUGGAGUUUUAAGCACUGGACCACAACGUACGUCCCAAGGGUUUGUUUUUUUC